rnacentral:rRNA from 1 species
UACGUAGGGGGCAAGCGUUGUCCGGAUUUACUGGGCGUAAAGAGCGUGUAGGCGGCCAGACAGGUCCGUUGUGAAAACUCGAGGCUCAACCUCGAGACGUCGAUGGAAACCGUCUGGCUAGAGUCCGGAAGAGGAGAGUGGAAUUCCUGGUGUAGCGGUGAAAUGCGCAGAUAUCAGGAAGAACACCUAUGGCGAAGGCAGCUCUCUGGGACGGUACUGACGCUGAGACGCGAAAGCGUGGGGAGCGAACAGG